rnacentral:rRNA from 1 species
GACGAACGCUGGCGGCGUGCUUAACACAUGCAAGUCGAGCGGUAAGGCCCUUUCGGGGGUACACGAGCGGCGAACGGGUGAGUAACACGUGGGUGACCUGCCCUCAGCUCUGGGAUAAGCCUGGGAAACUGGGUCUAAUACUGGAUAUGACUCCACGGUGCAUGUCGUGGGGUGGAAAGCCUUGUGCGGCUGAGGAUGGGCCCGCGGCCUAUCAGCUUGUUGGUGGGGUGANGGCCUACCAAGGCGACGACGGGUAGCCGGCCUGAGAGGGCGACCGGCCACACUGGGACUGAGACACGGCCCAGACUCCUACGGGAGGCAGCAGUGGGGAAUCUUGCGCAAUGGGCGAAAGCCUGAUGCAGCGACGCCGCGUGAGGGAUGACGGCCU